AGUGAACGCUGGCGGCAGGCCUAACACAUGCAAGUCGAACGGCAGCACAGUAAGCUCUCGCUCUUACGGUUGGCGAGUGGCGGACGGGUGAGGAAUACAUCGCAUUCUUCUUUUUCUUGGGUGAUAACGUAGGGAAACUUACGCUACUACCGCAUAUGAUCUACGGGUUAAAGCAGUGGUUCUUCGCACCUUGCGCGUUUGAAUGAGCUGAUGUCGGAUUAGCUAGUUGGCGGGGUAAAGGCCCACCAAGGCGACGAUCCGUAGCUGGUCUGAGAGGAUGAUCAGCCACACUGGAACUGAGACACGGUCCAGACUCCUACGGGAGGCAGCAGUGGGGAAUAUUGGACAAUGGGCGCAAGCCUGAUCCAGCCAUACCGCGUGGGUGAAGAAGGCCUUCGGGUUGUAAAGCCCUUUUGUUGGGGAAGAAAAGCAGCAGGUUAAUACCCCGCUGUUCUGACGGUACCCAAAGAAUAAGCACCGGCUAACUUCGUG
rnacentral:rRNA from 1 species